AUAAAAUUGAGAAUGGAAAUGGGGAAUGUGUCAAAGAGACAACAACCCGACCAAAUAAAAAACAACAGCAGAGGGUCACCAACAGGUCUUCAAUGUAGCGAGAAAUUCCCGCACCCGGAGGCGUCCUUCAGCUGGCCCCUAAACAAAUAUAUACUAAUCCAGUGAUAAUGAACGCCAUACUAAUUUCCAAAUUGUACACAAGAAACUAAAAUUAAAAUAAUACAAGACUAACAAAGGCCAGAGGCUCCUGACCUGGGACAGGCGCAAAAAUUCGGCGGGGUUAAACAUGUUUGUGAGAUCUCAACCCUCCCCCUAUACCUCUAACCAAUGUAGUAAAGUAAACGCA
rnacentral:lncRNA from 1 species